rnacentral:rRNA from 1 species
CAAUUAUAAGAGGUCCAUCCUGCCCAGUGAUAAAAUUCAACGGCCGCGGUACUCUAACCGUGCGANGGUAGCAUAAUCACUUGUUCUUUAAAUGAGGACUUGUAUCAACGGCAUCACGAGGGUUAAACUGUCUCCUUUUUCAAAUCAGUGAAACUAAUCUCUCCGUGAAGAAGCGGGGAUAAAUUUAUAAGACGAGAAGACCCCAUGGAGCUUUAAACCCAGCUACAACCUAAUCUAAUUUUACCUUUCANCUUUUAAGGCUCUGUAUUUCUGGUUUUAGGUUGGGGUGACCACGGAGCACAAAUUAGCCUCCAUAAUGAAUAGAUAUCCUCUUUAUCCAAGAAUUACAACUCUAAGAAUUAGUAUUCUAACAUAAAAUGAUCCGACAUUCGAUCAACGAACCAAGUUACCCUGGGGAUAACAGCGCAAUCCACUUAAAGAGCCCAUAUC